rnacentral:rRNA from 1 species
AGAACGAACGCUGGCGGCAGGCUUAACACAUGCAAGUCGAACGCCCCGCAAGGGGAGUGGCAGACGGGUGAGUAACGCGUGGGAAUCUACCUAGUUCUACGGAACAACAGUUGGAAACGACUGCUAAUACCGUAUACGCCCUAAGGGGGAAAGAUUUAUCGGAAUUAGAUGAGCCCGCGUAAGAUUAGCUAGUUGGUGGGGUAAUGGCCUACCAAGGCGACGAUCUUUAGCUGGUCUGAGAGGAUGAUCAGCCACACUGGGACUGAGACACGGCCCAGACUCCUACGGGAGGCAGCAGUGGGGAAUAUUGGACAAUGGGCGCAAGCCUGAUCCAGCCAUGCCGCGUGAGUGAUGAAGGCCUUAGGGUUGUAAAGCUCUUUCAGUGGGGAAGAUAAUGACGGUACCACAGAAGAAGCCCCGGCUAACUUCGUGCCAGCAGCCGC